rnacentral:rRNA from 1 species
AUUGAACGCUGGCGGCAGGCCUAACACAUGCAAGUCGAACGAGUGGCGGACGGGUGAGUAAUGUCUGGGAAACUGCCUGAUGGAGGGGGAUAACUACUGGAAACGGUAGCUAAUACCGCAUACCAUCGGAUGUGCCCAUAUGGGAUUAGCGUGUAGGUGGGGUAAAGGCUCACCUAGGCGACGAUCCCUAGCUGGUCUGAGAGGAUGACCAGCCACACUGGAACUGAGACAGGGUCCAGACUCCUACGGUAGGCAGCAGUGGGGAAUAUUGCACAAUGGGCGCAAGCCUGAUGCAGCCAUGCCGCGUGUAUGAAGAAGGCCUGCGGGUUGUAGAGUACUUUCAGCGGGGAGGCGUUACCGGCAGAAGAAGCACCGGCUAACUCCGUGCCAGCAGGCGCGGUAAUAC